rnacentral:pre_miRNA from 1 species
AGUGGGAUAGCUGGGUCAAAUGGUGAAUCCAUUCCCAGAUUUCCAAGGAUUCUGCAUACUGCUUUCCAUAUUGGCAGUACUAAUUUGCAUUCCCACCAGCAAU